GGAGUUGUGGCUCAGGUGGUUAGAUCAUGGUGCUGAUAAUGCCAAUGUCAUGGGUUUGAUCCCUGUAUAGACCAAUUGCA